GAUCCUGGCUCAGGAUGAACGCUAGCGACGGGCCUAACACAUGCAAGUCGAGGGGCGGCGGAGAGGUAGCAAUACCUUUGCCGGCGACCGGCGCACGGGUGAGUAACACGUAUGCAAUCCACCUGUAACAGGGGGAUAACCCGGAGAAAUCCGGACUAAUACCCCACUAAUAUGGGCGUCUCCGCCAUGGAGGGGUCCGAUUAAAGUAAGAGCAAUUUAGUUACGUAGACGAG
rnacentral:rRNA from 1 species